UACGGAGGGUGCAAGCGUUAUCCGGAUUCACUGGGUUUAAAGGGUGCGUAGGUGGGCAGGUAAGUCAGUGGUGAAAUCCCUCAGCUUAACUGGGGAACUGCGUCUGAUACUAGCGAGCUUGAGUGCAGGAGAGGAACGCGGAAUUCCAGGUGUAGCGGUGAAAUGCGUAGAUAUCUGGAGGAACACCGGUGGCGAAGGCGGCGUUCUGGACUGCAACUGACACUGAAAAACGAAAGCCAGGGGAGCAAACGGG
rnacentral:rRNA from 1 species